GGGGGAACAGGAACAGGAAGGGCAGGAGCGGUGGUGGGACAGCCGGCGGUGUUCCGGUCGUCGCAUCUGACCCCGAUAGGGAGGCCGGUCCAAGUGGAACAGGGGGCGGGGGCUGUAGGGGGCAACCGGCGGUACUCCGGUCGUCUUCCGACUUCUUCUCCGACUGUGACAAUAUCAACUAAUUCCCACCGGCUGUAAGUUACUCUUCUUCCUUCUUUCUCUUUCACUAUAUCCCAAUUUCAUAUAAAUCUAUUAAGAUGAUUGGGAAGAAUAUCAAAAAUUUCAAUUCAGUAAGUUCAUUUCUCUCUCUGUCUUUGCCUUUGUGUGUGAAAAGAUAUCUCUUUUAGUGUUUCCCCUAAUUAACUUGUUGUUUAUUCUUACUUUUCCUUCACAGAUAGAAUCUUACUAACUUAAUUGUUUAACACUGCUGAGUAUUACUUUUAUGGUAUAAAUCAGUUAGCUUUUGAUUGAAUUAGUGACAUGGAGUACAGUUGUUAGUGUGCGGAGUAAUAAAGAUGGCGAAUUCGGGUUGGAACACAAAGAAAUGGAUAAGAAAUCUGAUUGUUAAAGUGGCGCACAUAACAUGUUCGCUAAAAGGACUGUUUUUGCUAAAAACUAGGAAUUAAGCAAAGUCAACGUCCUAAAUUCCGCUACAAAAUCGUUCUGGUUCCGCCACUGUUUAGACUCAACUAGCUUGUAUGCCAAAUUCAUUCCUCAUCUUGAAUAUCACAAUAAUUUGGUACUACUAUACUAGUAAUUAUUACAAUAUUUACUAACUACGUGCACAUGUAUAAUUUUUUUUAAUAUUUAAGGGACGGAGGGAGUAUUCCACAGGGCUGCUGGAGUGUUAGAUUUGAACUGGAUCAUGUAUAUUCUCUGGUCUAUAUCCUAAUUCCACUUUUUGUUGGCAGGAUGGUUACAAAAUGUAUGUACUGAAAAAUGAAAUGAAAGGGGAAAAGAACGAGGAAAUAUUAUAACUAGCAUGUAAGGUUCAAGGAGAAUUCUACCACUACCACAACUCUUAUAACACUUUUCACCUCUGUCUAGCAGGAAAGUGAUGAUUCCUGCGGAUAUCAAAAUAAUGGCAGGGGAAAGGCCUUUCUUUACUGAAAUCGAGUUUUUUCCCCCAUCAAAUAAUAUGAUAAUGAUCAACGUUUCCUUGGAGGUGUUCAAGCCUCAAGCCUACAAAUACACCAAAUAAAGAGGGAGAAACAAAUAUAGAGAACAAGAAAGCAAGGAGAAUGACAAAAAUGGAUAUUUAGACAUAUGCCUAAAGCACAGUAUGCGUAGGUACCUGACAUAUACAUGUAUUAAAAUCAUUGUAAGCACCACAACUAUGUCUCAGUUUACUUUCUCUUGAAACCUCAUACCAAAGAUGGACAAUGUUAUGGAUGCUUUCAGCAUGUUUCUUGUAGAUCGAAGAAUAAUUUGAAGCAUUUGAUAUUCAUAAAAAAUACAAAAAGAAAGCAUCAAGGUGUGUGGAAGUAUAAAGAAUACACUGAGAGUGAAAAUAUUUAAGUAGACAUACUAUUAUAUAGAUAUUCUCUGCAGACAAAAAUGCUUCAGCUCAUGGCAUACAUACUACACAAAGUCGUGUUAACUAGUUGUCAGCACCUCAAUUUUUUGAUUAGGAUAAUCUUCUCUCUGUAUUAAUGACGGAACAGGUGGCUUCAUAAUCUCAUCUCUUUCCAACCCGGGAAGUUCUCUAUCUACAUUGGAAUGAUCUUUCGAAAAUCUGCUAGGACCUGGCAGGUUAUCCGUCCCAAGCAUGGACAGUCUGGGGCUGUUU
rnacentral:lncRNA from 1 species